UUGACCUCAAAUCAGGUAGGACUACCCGCUGAACUUAAGCAUAUCAAUAAGCGGAGGAAAAGAAACUAACAAGGAUUCCCCUAGUAACUGCGAGUGAAGCGGGAAGAGCUCAAAUUUGAAAUCUGGCGGUCCCUUGGGCUGUCCGAGUUGUAAUCUAGAGAAGUGUUACCUGUGCUGGACCGUGUACAAGUCUCCUGGAAUGGAGCAUCACAGAGGGUGAGAAUCCCGUCUUUGACACGGACUGCCUGUGCGAUAUGGUGCGCUCUCGAAGAGUCGAGUUGUUUGGGAAUGCAGCUCAAAAUGGGUGGUAAAUGCCAUCUAAAGCUAAAUACUGGCGAGAGACCGAUAGCGAACAAGUACCGUGAGGGAAAGAUGAAAAGAACUUUGGAAAGAGAGUUAAACAGUACGUGAAAUUGCUGAAAGGGAAACGCUUGAAGUCAGUCGCGUCGGCUGGAAAUCAGUCUUGCUUCUGCUUGACGUACUUUCUGGUUCGACGGGUCAGCAUCAGUUUUGACCGCUGGAUAAAGUCGUUGGGAAUGUGGCAUCUUAGGAUGUGUUAUAGCCCGUCGUCGCAUACGGUGGUCGGGAUUGAGGAACUCAGCACGCCGCGAGGCCGGGUCGUUUCUGCGAUCACGUUCGUGCUUAGGAUGCUGGCAUAAUGG
rnacentral:rRNA from 1 species